AACAAGAUCUGAGGGGUUAAAAACCUCAUUGAGUGCAGCGUUGAUGACAUCGUCCAUCCAUGUCUCUCCGGAUGCCGUUUCAUUGACGCUACACUCAAUAAUGUUUUUAAUUCUUAAAGCACUUCAAACAAGCAGAUUCACAUUCUUACUUCUAUGCUAUAUACUGUAUUUCCUAUCGAUUUUCCCCUGUUUAUUGGAUUUGUUAGUUUCUGCUAUUCCUUGCACUCAAGCUCCGGUACCAAUCACCACUGUUCCUACUUAGAAAAUGCAGCAACAUAUCCUCGAAUCAACCGCAUCUAUGGGGCAAUUACUCCUUCGAUUGUAUAGGCGAGAGAAUCCACCAAAUCGACUUUGAAAAGCAAUUCUUGCAAAGCUUGUAAAGAAUCAUACGCUGAUCAAGUUUCUGCUGCCAGCCCUGCAGCAAAAGUUCAAGGAGAAGAGUACUGAAUUACGGCAUACACCACAUUAUAUUUUGUAUGUUUCUUUCAUUGUGCAUAUAUAAAUAUUCAAAAUAUUUCAAACUUCAUUACAGUACACACGAAAUAUC